UUCAGAGAAGAGUCUUUUCGAAGUUUAUUGUUUGUUUUCGUUUUGUUUUUUUGCUCCUUGACUCGGUCAACGACCAAUAUGUGUGUGAUUUCGGAUGCCCGUUUUAGACCGAAUUGAUGGGUCAACGAUUCGUCAAAGUGGAAGAUUGAUGACGAUUUUGGGGAUUUAACUCUUCAAAUCAAAAGUGGAAAAAAAUUGAUGGAGCGAUUCAUCUCCGUUUGUUCAUGGUUGAUUUUGGUGUUGUAUUUGGUUUUCAGAGUUGCGGGAAAUGCGGAAGGUGAUGCUUUGAAUGCUUUGAAGGCCAAUUUGAUUGACCCAAAUAAUGUGUUGCAAAGUUGGGACUCAACCCUUGUUAAUCCUUGCACAUGGUUUCAUGUCACGUGUAAUAGUGAAAAAAGUGUAACAAGAGUUGAUCUUGGGAAUGCGGGUCUAUCUGGUCAAUUGGUUCCACAGAUCGGGCAGCUUAUGAAUUUGCAGUAUCUGGGGCUUUAUGGCAAUAACAUAUCUGGAAUAAUCCCAGAGGAGCUUGGAAAUUUGAUAAACUCGGUGAGCUUGGAUCUUUCCUUGAAUGCUUUAACCGGGAACAUUCCAACUACUCUGGGCAAGCUUCCAAAACUACGUAUCCUGAGGCUUUAUAACAAUAACAUAUCUGGAAUAACCCCAGAGGAGCUUGGAAAUUUGAUAAACUUGGUGAGCUUGGAUCUUUCCUGGAAUGCUUUAACCGGGAACAUUCCAACUACUCUGGGCAAGCUUCCAAAACUACAUACCCUGCGUCUCAACAACAACAAAUUGUCUGGACAAAUUCCUAGGUCCUUAACUACUCUUAAGUCACUGCAAGUGCUGGAUCUUUCAAACAAUCAGCUAGUAGGUGAUAUUCCAGUUAAUGGUUCCUUUCCAGUAUUUACACCUUUCAGUUUUGCUAAUAAUCGACUGAAUAAUCUUCUACCUGCUCCACCACCUCCUAUCUCACCUACAGCUCCAACUCCAUCAGGUAAUAGUGCCACUGGUGCUAUUGCUGGAGUUGCUGCUGGAGCUACCCUGCUUUUUGCUGCUCCUGCAAUUUUACUUGCUUGGAGGCAUAGAAGGAAACCACAGGAUCAUUUCUUUAAUGUACCUGCUGAGGAGGUCCUAGAAGUUCAUUUGGGAAAACUUCAAAGGUUUUCUUUGAGUGAACUACAAGUGGCAACAGAUAACUUUAGCAACAAAAACAUUCUGGGUAGAGGUGGUUUUGGUGAAGUUUACAAAGGUCGCUUAGCUGAUGGUUCUCUGGUGGCAGCAAAAAGAUUUAAAGAUGACCGUACUCCAGGUGGAGAGUUGCAGUUCCAAAAAGAGGUAGAAAUGAUAAGUAUGGCUGUGCAUCGGAAUUUGCUACGUCUCCGUGGCUUUUGCAUGACCCCUACAGAAUGGCUGCUAGUCUAUCCCUUUAUGGUUAAUGGUAGUGUUGAAUCCUGUUUAAGAGGGCGUCCGGAGUCUCAAUCACCACUUGAUUGGGCUAUAAGGAAACGGAUUGCAGUGGGAGCUGCAAGGGGGCUUGCAUAUUUGCAUGAUCAUUGUGAUCCUAAGAUUAUACACUGUGAUGUGAAGGCUGCAAAAAUAUUGUUGGAUGAGGAAUUUGAAGCAGUAGUUCGAGACUUUGGGCUGGCCAAACUGAUGGACUAUAAAGAUACUCAUGUGACAACUGCUGUUCGUGGCACAAUUGGUCAUAUAGCUCCUGAAUACCUAUCAACUGGAAAGUCAUCAGAGAAAACUGAUGUUUUUGGGUAUGGUGUUAUGCUUCUUGAACUCCUUACAGGACAGAAGGCUUUCAAUCUUGCUCGGCUUGCAAAUGAUGAAGAUGUCAUGUUGCUUGACUGGGUAUAUACUGUUUUUCCUAUUACAUGUGUCUCAAUCGUGGUGCAUUUCACAGUUUGACUUUUGUCAUUCUUGUCUAGUGUUGGAAUUAUUCAAUUCUUGUUUCACUUGGUUGGCCAAAAGCAACAGAUAAAAGUACAGUAUAGCAGAACUACCCUUAUAACACAGUGAAGCUCUAUUUUAUUUUCCUUGCAAGGUGAAAAUGCAAAAGCAGAAAAGCAGAAAUACUUGAAACUUGAAAUUGUUUUCUCUACAAGGUGAAGAGGGAAAAAGAAAAUAUAAAAUGGUUGUUGGGUGAUGCUAUCUUUUCUUUUCUUGAAGUUGCUAGCAGUCAAGAUACGCCGGGGUUCCUAAGAUCCUUUCUGUUCACUAAUUUUGGGUAAAAGGGCAUGUGAAAGACAGGAGGUUGGAAAGGCUGGUUGAUUUGGAUCUUGAGGGUAAUUACAUAGUUGAAGAAGUGGAACAGCUAAUCCAGGUGGCUCUUU